CAAAAACAUGUCUUUAUAGAUUAAAAAUAUAAAGUUUAACCUGCCCACUGAUUAAUUUUAAAUGGCUGCAGUAUAUUGACUGUACAAAGGUAGCAUAAUAAUUAGUUUUUUAAUUGAAAACUGGAAUGAAUGGUUUGAUGAAAUAUAAACUGUUUUUAAAAAAUUAUAAUAGAAUUUUAUAUUUAAGUAAAAAAGCUUAAAUAUUAUUAAAAGACGAGAAGACCCUAUAAAUCUUUAUAUUUUAUAAAUUUAAUAUAAUUUAGAAAUUUUUUAUUUAUGUUUAUAAAAUAUUUUAUUGGGGUGAUAGUAAAAUUUGAUAAACUUUUAUAUUAUAUUAUUCAUUAAUUUAUGAUUUUUUGAAUAAUUUUUAAUGAUUAUUAAAAUAAGAUACUUUAGGGAUAACAGCGUAAA
rnacentral:rRNA from 1 species